rnacentral:tRNA from 1 species
GGUGCCAUAGCUCAGUUGGUAGAGCAACGGACUGAAAAUCCGUGUGUCCCUAGUUCGAUUCUUGGUGGCACCACCU